rnacentral:rRNA from 1 species
GACGUAGGGCGCGAGCGUUGUCCGGAUUUAUUGGGCGUAAAGAGCUCGUAGGCGGCUUGGCAAGUCGGGUGUGAAAUCCCGGGGCUCAACCCCGUGACUGCAUCCGAUACUGUCAGGCUAGAGGUAGGUAGGGGAGAUCGGAAUUCCUGGUGUAGCGGUGAAAUGCGCAGAUAUCAGGAGGAACACCGGUGGCGAAGGCGGAUCUCUGGGCCUUACCUGACGCUCAGGCGCGAAAGCUAGGGGAGCGAACAGG